rnacentral:rRNA from 1 species
GGGUUGUGAGGUUAAGCGAAUAAGCGUACACGGUGGAUGCCUAGGCAAUCAGAGGCGAUGAAGGACGUGCUAAUCUGCGAAAAGCGUCGGUAAGGUGAUAUGAACCGUUAUACCCGACGAUAUCCGAAUGGGGAAACCCAGUAUCCAAUGGAUACUAUCAUUAACUGAAUUCAUAGGUUAAUGAGGCGAACCGGGAGAACUGAAACAUCUCAGUACCCCGAGGAAAAGAAAUCAACCGAGAUUCCCCUAGUAGCGGCGAGCGAACGGGGAGCAGCCCAGAGUCUUAAUCAAUGGCAGUGUCAGGAGAACGGUCUGGAAAGUCCGGCAGUAAAGGGUGAUAGCCCCGUAUCUGAAGAUGCUGUUAUUGUGAACUCGACGAGUAGGGCGGGACACGUGUUAUCCUGUCUGAAUAUGGGGGGACCAUCCUCCAAGGCUAAAUACUCCUGAUUGACCGAUAGUGAACCAGUACCGUGAGGGAAAGGCGAAAAGAACCCCGGCGAGGGGAGUGAAAAAGAACCUGAAACCGUGUACGUACAAGCAGUAGGAGCCCCACCACUAAGCUAGUGGUGAGUGUCACAGCGAUUCUUUUGCAUGAUAAGUGCGGUAGACGGAGCGAAGCGACGUCCAACCCACAAAAUCAAGCCGAGGAGGCUUAGUGGUGGGGUGACUGCGUACCUUUUGUAUAAUGGGUCAGCGACUUAUAUUCUGUAGCAAGGUUAACCGCAUAGGGGAGCCGUAGGGAAACCGAGUCUUAACUGGGCGAAUGAGUUGCAGGGUAUAGACCCGAAACCCGGUGAUCUAUCCAUGGGCAGGUUGAAGGUUGGGUAACACUAACUGGAGGACCGAACCGACUAAUGUUGAAAAAUUAGCGGAUGACUUGUGGAUGGGGGUGAAAGGCCAAUCAAACCGGGAGAUAGCUGGUUCUCCCCGAAAGCUAUUUAGGUAGCGCCUCGUGAACUCAUCUUCGGGGGUAGAGCACUGUUUCGACUAGGGGGUCAUCCCGACUUACCAACUCGAUGCAAACUGCGAAUACCGAAGAAUGUUAUCACGGGAGACACACGGCGGGUGCUAACGUCCGUCGUGAAGAGGGAAACAACCCAGACCGCCAGCUAAGGUCCCAAAGUCAUGGUUAAGUGGGAAACGAAGUGGGAAGGCUCAGACAGCCAGGAUGUUGGCUUAGAAGCAGCCAUCAUUUAAAGAAAGCGUAAUAGCUCACUGGUCGAGUCGGCCCGCGCGGAAGAUGUAACGGGGCUAAACCAUGCACCGAAGCUGCGGCAGCGACACAAUGUGUUGUUGGGUAGGGGAGCGUUCUGUAAGCCUGCGAAGGUGUACUGUGAGGUAUGCUGGAGGUAUCAGAAGUGCGAAUGCUGACAUAAGUAACGAUAAUGCGGGUGAAAAACCCGCACGCCGGAAGACCAAGGGUUCCUGUCCAACGUUAAUCGGGGCAGGGUGAGUCGACCCCUAAGGCGAGGCUGAAAAGCGUAGUCGAUGGGAAACGGGUUAAUAUUCCCGUACUGGUGGUAACUGCGAUGGGGGAACGGAGAAGGCUAGGUUGUCCGGGCGACGGUCGUCCCGGUUCAAGCAGGUAGGCAGAGUGAUUAGGCAAAUCCGGUCACUUAAUGCUGAGAUGUGAUGACGAGCCACUAAGGUGGUGAAGCAAUUGAUGCCCCGCUUCCAGGAAAAGCCUCUAAGCUUCAGGUUACCAACAAUCGUACCCCAAACCGACACAGGUGGUCAGGUAGAGAAUACUCAGGCGCUUGAGAGAACUCGGGUGAAGGAACUAGGCAAAAUGGUGCCGUAACUUCGGGAGAAGGCACGCUGGCGGUAGGUAAAGUCCCUUGCGGACGGCGCUGAAGCCAGUCGAAGAUACCAGCUGGCUGCAACUGUUUAUUAAAAACACAGCACUGUGCAAACACGAAAGUGGACGUAUACGGUGUGACGCCUGCCCGGUGCUGGAAGGUUAAUUGAUGGGGUCAGCCGCAAGGCGAAGCUCCUGAUCGAAGCCCCAGUAAACGGCGGCCGUAACUAUAACGGUCCUAAGGUAGCGAAAUUCCUUGUCGGGUAAGUUCCGACCUGCACGAAUGGCGUAAUGAUGGCCAGGCUGUCUCCACCCGAGACUCAGUGAAAUUGAACUCGCUGUGAAGAUGCAGUGUACCCGCGGCAAGACGGAAAGACCCGUGAACCUUUACUAUAGCUUGACACUGAACAUUGAGCCUUGAUGUGUAGGAUAGGUGGGAGGCUUUGAAGUGUGGACGCCAGUCUGCAUGGAGCCAACCUUGAAAUACCACCCUUUAACGUUUGAUGUUCUAACCUAGGCCCGUAAUCCGGGUCGGGGACCGUGUCUGGUGGGUAGUUUGACUGGGGCGGUCUCCUCCUAAAGAGUAACGGAGGAGCACGAAGGUUGGCUAAGCAUGGUCGGACAUCAUGCGGUUAGUGCAAAGGCAUAAGCCAGCUUGACUGCGAGAGUGACGGCUCGAGCAGGUACGAAAGUAGGUCUUAGUGAUCCGGUGGUUCUGAAUGGAAGGGCCAUCGCUCAACGGAUAAAAGGUACUCCGGGGAUAACAGGCUGAUACCGCCCAAGAGUUCAUAUCGACGGCGGUGUUUGGCACCUCGAUGUCGGCUCAUCACAUCCUGGGGCUGAAGUAGGUCCCAAGGGUAUGGCUGUUCGCCAUUUAAAGUGGUACGCGAGCUGGGUUUAGAACGUCGUGAGACAGUUCGGUCCCUAUCUGCCGUGGGCGUUGGAAGAUUGAGAGGGGUUGCUCCUAGUACGAGAGGACCGGAGUGAACGCACCACUGGUGUUCGGGUUGUCAUGCCAAUGGCAUUGCCCGGUAGCUAAGUGCGGAAGAGAUAACCGCUGAAAGCAUCUAAGCGGGAAACUUGCCUCGAGAUGAGUCUUCCCUGUCGCUUAAAGCGACCUAAAGGAACGUUUAAGACGAAGACGUUGAUAGGCUGGGUGUGUAAGCGUAGCGAUACGUUGAGCUAACCAGUACUAAUGAACCGUGAGGCUUAACCUGACAACACCGAAAGUGUUUUG